rnacentral:rRNA from 1 species
UACAGGGGUCUCAAGCGUUUGUUCGGAUUCAUUGGGCGUAAAGGGUGUGUAGGUGGCGCCGUAAGUCGGGUGUGAAAUUUCGGAGCUUAACUCCGAAACUGCAUUCGAUACUGCGGUGCUUGAGGACUGGAGAGGAGACUGGAAUUCAUGGUGUAGCAGUGAAAUGCGUAGAGAUCAUGAGGAAGACCAGUGGCGAAGGCGGGUCUCUGGACAGUUCCUGACACUGAGACACGAAGGCCAGGGGAGCAAACGGG